GCUUAACACAUGCAAGUCGAACGAGAACGGAUUAUAGCUUGCUAUAAUUGUCAGCUAAGUGGCGCACGGGUGAGUAAUGUAUAGGUAAUAUGCCUCUUACUAAGGGAUAACAAUUGGAAACGAUUGCUAAUACCUUAUACUCCUUACUAACUAAAGUUAGUAAGGGAAAGAUUUAUUGGUAAGAGAUUAGCCUGUAUUGUAUCAGUUAGUUGGUGGGGUAAUGGCCUACCAAGACAAUGACACAUAACUGGUUUGAGAGGAUGAUCAGUCACACUGGAACUGAGACACGGUCCAGACUCCUACGGG
rnacentral:rRNA from 2 species